rnacentral:tRNA from 1 species
GCGCGGGUGGCGAAACUGGCAGACGCGUACGUUUGAGGGGCGUAUGGGGAAACCCAUGGGGGUUCAAGUCCCCCCCCGCGCA